UACGAAGGGGGCUAGCGUUGUUCGGAAUUACUGGGCGUAAAGCGCGCGCAGGCGGUCUUCCAAGUCAGGCGUGAAAGCCCCGGGCUCAACCUGGGAACCGCGCUUGAGACUGGCACGCUCGAGUUCGGGAGAGGAUGGUGGAAUUCCCAGUGUAGAGGUGAAAUUCGUAGAUAUUGGGAAGAACACCGAUGGCGAAGGCAGCCAUCUGGACCGACACUGACGCUGAGGCGCGAAAGCGUGGGGAGCAAACAGG
rnacentral:rRNA from 1 species